rnacentral:tRNA from 1 species
GCCCUAGAAGCUCAUCGUUAGAGCGCCGGUUUUGUAAUCCGGAAGCUGGAGGUUAAAAUCCUCCCUAGUGCU